GAACACCCGCCGGAUGAACGGAAAUCAUUGAUGUUGAUUAAUAUGUUAGUAAUAACGGUGUUU
rnacentral:tRNA from 1 species